rnacentral:rRNA from 1 species
CUUCGGGUCUAGCGGCGGACGGGUUAGUAACGCGUGGGAAUAUACCCUUCACUACGGAAUAGCCUCGGGAAACUGGGAGUAAUACCGUAUACGCCCUUUGGGGGAAAGAUUUAUCGGUGAAGGAUUAGCCCGCGUCUGAUUAGAUAGUUGGUGGGGUAAUGGCCUACCAAGUCUACGAUCAGUAGCUGGUUUGAGAGGAUGAUCAGCAACACUGGGACUGAGACACGGCCCAGACUCC